CCUUGAGCGGGACUUGGACACAAUAACAGACCAUAUCCAGUGAAAGAUCCUUCUUUUUCGUCACUUUGAUGCAUGGGGCACUGGUUAAUUGAACAUACCAGCAAACUGCAUCAAACACAGCUCUGAGAGAGGGAUUACACGUCUUUCUUGGUCUACGUCCUAGAGCCUCUGCCGGGACUGCCACCCACCACAGGACCUCAGCUGCUCCGGGCCUACCAGCAUGGCUCGGAUGUGGGUUUAUAAAUGAUCCGGGAACAGGCGCCAUGCGGUGCCCCCCCAGAGCACACCCUGGUUUCAAGUCAUCGCAGAUAAGGAACGAUUUCACACUGUUAAUCAGAUUGUCCUAACGAUCUGCUCCCCUGCAACAUGCAUAGUUCGGCAUGGUGCUUUCCUAUGAGACAUCCACCUCAGAUCUAAUCCCCUUAAGCUCUCCACUCCACGGGAUUUAUGGGAGGUGGCGGGCAGCUGUGGAUGAGUUACUACGGAAAGAUUAAGAUUGUGUGAUGCAAUGUUGGAAAAAGGCAAGGGAGCUUACUGGCAGAACGUCAAAAAAACUUCCCGUUGUUUUAUAAAGUCAUAUUACAACAUAACAUAUCCUUGUAGUUUAAAUUUUCCACCUCUGAGACAUCAGAGUUUCUGAGAAACAGUAUCUCCUCUGACUCCUUGCAUGUUUUAAACAGAGAAUACCAACUUCUGCUCUCCAG